GGAAUAUUGGGCAAUGGGCGCAAGCCUGACCCAGCCAUGCCGCGUGUGUGAAGAAGGCCUUCGGGUUGUAAAGCACUUUCAGUAGCGAAGAAAAGCCGGGGGCUAACAUCUCCCGGUCUUGACGUUAACUACAGAAGAAGUACCGGCUAACUCCGUGCCAGAAGCCGCGGUAAUACGGAGGGUACGAACGUUAAUCGGAUUUACUGGGCGUAAAGGGCGCGUAGGCGGUCCGUUAAGUGGGGUGUGAAAGCCCCGGGCUCAACCCGGGAACUGCACUCCAAACUGAUGGGCUAGAGUAUGGUAGAGGGAGGUAGAAUUUCCUGUGUAGCGGUGAAAUGCGUAGAUAUAGGAAGGAAUACCGAUGGCGAAGGCAGCCUCCUGGACCAAUACUGACGCUGAGGUGCGAAAGCGUGGGGAGCAAAC
rnacentral:rRNA from 1 species